rnacentral:rRNA from 1 species
GAGUUUGAUCCUGGCUCAGGAUGAACGCUAGCGGCAGGCCUAACACAUGCAAGUCGAGGGGCAGCACGGGUAGCAAUACCUGGUGGCGACCGGCGCACGGGUGCGUAACGCGUAUGGAACCUACCCUCCGCAGGGGAAUAGCCCGCCGAAAGGCGGAUUAAUGCCCCAUGGCUCCCGAUCCCCGCAUGGGGUAUCGGGAUAAAGCUCAGGCGGCGGAGGAUGGCCAUGCGUGCCAUUAGCUAGUCGGCGGGGUAACGGCCCACCGAGGCGAUGAUGGCUAGGGGGUCUGAGAGGAUGGUCCCCCACACUGGUACUGAGACACGGACCAGACUCCUACGGGAGGCAGCAGUGAGGAAUAUUGGUCAAUGGGCGCAAGCCUGAACCAGCCAUGCCGCCGUGCAGGAAGACGGCCCUAUGGGUUGUAAACUGCUUUUGCACGGGAAGAAUGGCCCCCUCGUGAGGGGGUUUGACGGUACCGUACGAAUAAGGAUCGGCUAACUCCGUG